CCUACGGGUGGCAGCAGUGAGGAAGAGUGGUCAAUGGACGAGAGUCUGAACCAGCCAAGUAGCGUGAAGGAUGACUGCCCUAUGGGGUGUAAACUUCUGUUAUAGGGGAAUAAAAUGUUCCACGUGUGGGAUUUUGUAUGUACCAUAUGAAUAAGGAUCGGCUAACUCCGUGCCAGCAGCCGAGGUAAUACGGAGGAUCCGAGCGUUAUCCGGAUUUAUUGGGUUUAAAGGGAGCGUAGGUGGAUUGGUAAGUCAGGUGUGAAAGUUUGCGGCUCAACCGUAAAAUUGCAGUUGAAACUUGCAGUCUUGAGUACAGUAGAGGUGGGCGGAAUUCGUGGUGUCGCGGU
rnacentral:rRNA from 1 species